ensembl:snRNA U6 U6 spliceosomal RNA
GUACUCGCUUCAGCGGCACAUACACUAAAAUUGGAACAAUACAGAGAUGAGCGUGGCCUCUGCGCCAGUAUGACAUGCAUAUUCGUGAAGCGGUCCAUAUUAAA